AAUAGAUACCCGGGUAGUCCUAGCCGUAAACGAUACUCGCUAGGUGUCGGCCACGGUGCGACCGUUGUCGGUGCCGUAGGGAAGCCGUGAAGCGAGCCACCUGGGAAGUACGGCCGCAAGGCUGAAACUUAAAGGAAUUGGCGGGGGAGCACCACAACGGGUGGAGCUUGCGGUUUAAUUGGAUUCAACGCCGGAAAUCUUACCGGGACCGACAGCAAUAUGAAGGCCAGGCUGAAGACUUUGCCGGAUUAGCUGAGAGGUGGUGCAUGGCCGUCGUCAGUUCGUACUGUGAAGCAUCCUGUUAAGUCAGGCAACGAGCAAGACCCACGCCCACAGUUGCCAGCGUACUCUCCGGAGUGACGGGUACACUGUGGGGACCGCCGCUGCUAAAGCGGAGGAAGGAAUGGGCAACGGUAGGUCAGUAUGCCCCGAAUAUCCCGGGCUACACGCGAGCUACAAUGGUUGGUACAAUGGGUAUCUACCCCGAAAGGGGAUGGAAAUCUCCUAAAGCCAAUCUUAGUUCGGAUUGAGGGCUGCAACUCGCCCUCA
rnacentral:rRNA from 1 species